AGAUCGUGUCGUUCUAGAUUACAUGGAUAUAUGUGACUAGAAUGUUCACCUUCUUU
rnacentral:pre_miRNA from 1 species